GCAUAUCAAUAAGCGGAGGGAAAGAAACCAACCGGGAUUGCCUCAGUAACGGCGAGUGAAGCGGCAAGAGCUCAAAUUUGAAAGCUGGCUCCUUCGGGGUCCGCAUUGUAAUUUGCAGAGGAUGCUUCGGGUGCGGCCCCUGUCUAAGUGCCCUGGAACGGGCCGUCAGAGAGGGUGAGAAUCCCGUCUGGGAUGGGGUGUCCGCGCCCGUGUGAAGCUCCUUCGACGAGUCGAGUUGUUUGGGAAUGCAGCUCUAAAUGGGUGGUAAAUUUCAUCUAAAGCUAAAUACUGGCCGGAGACCGAUAGCGCACAAGUAGAGUGAUCGAAAGAUGAAAAGCACUUUGAAAAGAGAGUUAAAAAGCACGUGAAAUUGUUGAAAGGGAAGCGCUUGCGACCAGACUCGCCUCCAGGGUUCAGCCGGCAUUCGUGCCGGUGUACUUCCCUGGGGGCGGGCCAGCGUCGGUUUGGGCGGCCGGUCAAAGGCUCCCGGAAUGUAGUGCCCUCCGGGGCACCUUAUAGCCGGGAGUGCAAUGCGGCCAGCCUGGACCGAGGAACGCGCUUCGGCACGGACGCUGGCAUAAUGGUCGUAAACGACCCGUCUUGAAACACGGACCAAGGAGUCUAACAUCUACGCGAGUGUUCGGGUGUCAAACCCGUACGCGCAGUGAAAGCGAACGGAGGUGGGAGCCCCCUCGUGGGGCGCACCAUCGACCGAUCCUGAUGUCUUCGGAUGGAUUUGAGUAAGAGCGUAAAUGUGGGGACCCGAAAGAUGGUGAACUAUGCCUGAAUAGGGCGAAGCCAGAGGAAACUCUGGUGGAGGCUCGCAGCGGUUCUGACGUGCAAAUCGAUCGUCAAAUUUGGGUAUAGGGGCGAAAGACUAAUCGAACCAUCUAGUAGCUGGUUCCUGCGA
rnacentral:rRNA from 1 species